rnacentral:rRNA from 1 species
GACGAACGCUGGCAGCGUGCUUAACACAUGCAAGUCGAACGGAAAGGCCCUGCUUUUGUGGGGUGCUCGAGUGGCGAACGGGUGAGUAACACGUGAGUAACCUGCCCUUGACUUUGGGAUAACUUCAGGAAACUGGGGCUAAUACCGGAUAGGAGCUCCUGCUGCAUGGUGGGGGUUGGAAAGUUUCGGCGGUUGGGGAUGGACUCGCGGCUUAUCAGCUUGUUGGUGGGGUAGUGGCUUACCAAGGCUUUGACGGGUAGCCGGCCUGAGAGGGUGACCGGCCACAUUGGGACUGAGAUACGGCCCAGACUCCUACGGGAGGCAGCAGUGGGGAAUAUUGCACAAUGGGCGGAAGCCUAAUGCAGCAACGCCGCGUGCGGGAUGACGGCCUUCGGGUUGUAAACCGCUUUCGCCUGUGACGAAGCGUGAGUGACGGUAAUGGGUAAAGAAGCACCGGCUAACUACGUG